GUCCACCAUUCCUAUCAUGAUUUUAAGGUAUUUCUGGUCUUCUUCAAGUGUCUCCUGGAGGCUAAAGGUGUACAUGGUAUUUUCCCAUUGCAAUGCAGCAGCGCAGCAGAAGGGGGAGCUGACACAAGCCUUCCCAGGUCUGAACCAACUUCUCUCAAGCGUGUGAAGCCUUUCUUUAUGUAGCCAGUCUCCACCCAGGGCUCAGUAGGCUUAGGGAAAUGGGAGGCGGAAGGGCACCUCACAGUGUACUCAACCCUUCUGAAUUGGAUUUUGUGAGCUGUGUAUGUCAGGUUCCGAUGUGAGGCCUGGCGCUGUGGAGGUUCCAAUGGCCGCCAUGUUGUCUCAGAGGGACACACCACAGGCUUCUGGAACUCUGGCUCCAUUUUGUGGGUGCAAGUUUCUGGCUUCCGUUUUAAAGAGCAAGAGAACCUAUCAGCGUUGUCAAUUCUAAGAAAGUGAGUGCCAAGAGCAGCUUACAAGAUUGCUGCAUUGUGGAGUACUUGGGCAGGUAGUGUAGAGUGAACAGAAGCAGAAGAUGCCAAAACCAAGAAGUAUUUUCUAAGAAGGCACUAAAACUCAGCUGUGGACUACAGAGAUCAGUGAUCUGCUGAGAAAUACC
rnacentral:lncRNA from 1 species